rnacentral:rRNA from 1 species
GAGUUUGAUCAUGGCUCAGGAUGAACGCUGGCGGCGUGCCUAAUACAUGCAAGUCGUACGAACAGCGGAAAGUGCUUGCACUUUCCAAGUAAGUGGCGAACGGGUGAGUAACACGUGAAUAACCUACCUCAAAGUCUGGGAUAACCAUUGGAAACAGUGACUAAUACCGGAUAAAACCUAGUAGCACAUGCUACAAGGUUAAAAGCUGCGUUUGCAGCGCUUUAAGAUGGAUUCGCGGUG